rnacentral:rRNA from 1 species
AUGGAAAGAGAGAUAUUCUGUUUGCAGAGAUUGAAUCUUUGUACAUUAUUGAUGAUAGUUUGGAUUUGUUUGGGGAUAUUGUAUCUGCAUGCUGCAUGCGUUAGUUUUUUGGGAAUUGUCUCAUCGCUCAUGGUAUGGUACAAUCUGUACGUGUGGGAGAUGCAAAAAUCAUGUUCGUGUGGGAUGACCCAACUUGUAUGCGUUUCUUUAACAUUGUAUGUUUUUUUGUUGAACGUCCAACCUGGGAUUGUGAAAUCUGAUCCCUCAUGGGGUGGUCUUGCCUGGGUUCGUGAAACUGAACGUGAAGUCCUUAUCUCAUGGUAUGGUCCCACCUGGUUUAUGAAGAUCUAA